AACGCAUGUGGGAGCAUCGUGUGGGCGGACAUGCGCAGUGAUGACAUACCACAAAAAUGUCAUGCCUCAAGUCAUCACUGCGCAUGUCCGCCCACACGAUGCUCCCA